GUCCUUUAGUUUUAAUAAUUUAAGGUCUAACCUGCCCACUGAAAUAUUUUAAAUGGCCGCAGUAAAUUGACUGUGCAAAGGUAGCAUAAUCAUUAGUUUUUUAAUUAAAAGCUUGUAUGAAUGGUUUGACGAAAUAAAAUCUGUCUCUAGAUAAUAAUAAGAAUUUAAUUUUUAAGUUAAAAAGCUUAAAUAUAAUUAAAAGACGAGAAGACCCUAUAGAUCUUUAUAUUAAAUUUUAUAUUAUUAUUAAGGAUUUUUUAAUUUUAUUAUUAAAUUUAUUAUUUUAUUGGGGUAAUAGAAAGAUUAAAUAAAUUCUUUUUAAAUUUGUACAUAGAUAAUUGUUUAAAUGAUCCUUUAUUAAAGAUAAUAAGAUUAAGUUACCUUAGGGAUAACAGCGUAAUUUUUUUGGAGAGUUCAUAUCGAUAAAAAAGUUUGCGACCUCGAUGUUGGAUUAAAAAUUAUUCCAGGUGUAGAAGUUUG
rnacentral:rRNA from 1 species